AGCGAACGCUGGCGGCAGGCCUAACACAUGCAAGUCGAACGAACCUUUCGGGGUUAGUGGCGGACGGGUGAGUAACACGUGGGAACGUGCCUUUAGGUUCGGAAUAACUCAGGGAAACUUGUGCUAAUACCGAAUGUGCCCUUCGGGGGAAAGAUUUAUCGCCUUUAGAGCGGCCCGCGUCUGAUUAGCUAGUUGGUUGAGGUAAUGGCUCACCAAGGCGACGAUCAGUAGCUGGUCUGAGAGGAUGAUCAGCCACAUUGGGACUGAGACACGGCCCAAACUCCUACGGGAGGCAGCAGUGGGGAAUCUUGCGCAAUGGGCGAAAGCCUGACGCAGCCAUGCCGCGUGAAUGAUGAAGGUCUUAGGAAUGUAAAAUUCUUUCACCGGGGACGAUAAUGACGGUACCCGGAGAAGAAGCCCCGGCUAACUUCGUG
rnacentral:rRNA from 1 species